rnacentral:rRNA from 1 species
AUUGAACGCUGGCGGCAUGCCUUACACAUGCAAGUCGAACGGUAACAGGUCUUCGGAUGCUGACGAGUGGCGAACGGGUGAGUAAUACAUCGGAACGUGCCCGAUCGUGGGGGAUAACGAAGCGAAAGCUUUGCUAAUACCGCAUACGAUCUACGGAUGAAAGCGGGGGAUCUUCGGACCUCGCGCGGACGGAGCGGCCGAUGGCAGAUUAGGUAGUUGGUGGGAUAAAAGCUUACCAAGCCGUCGAUCUGUAGCUGGUCUGAGAGGAUGAUCAGCCACACUGGGACUGAGACACGGCCCAGACUCCUACGGGAGGCAGCAGUGGGGAAUUUUGGACAAUGGGCGCAAGCCUGAUCCAGCCAUGCCGCGUGCAGGAUGAAGGCCUUCGGGUUGUAAACUGCUUUUGUACGGAACGAAAAGGUGCCUUCUAAUAAAGGGCGCUCAUGACGGUACCGUAAGAAUAAGCACCGGCUAACUACGUG